UACGUAGGAGACGAGCGUUGUCCGGAGUUACUGGGCGUAAAGGGUGCGCAGGCGGCCUGGCGCGUCGCGAGUGAAAUCUCCUGGCUCAACUGGGAGGGUGGUCGCGAGACGGCUGGGCUUGAGGCUCGGUGAGGGGCGUGGAAUUCCGGGUGGAGCGGUGAAAUGCGUAGGGAUCCGGAGGAACACCGACGGCGUAGGCAGCGCCCUAGACGAGACCUGACGCUCAGGCACGAAAGCGUGGGGAGCGAACAGG
rnacentral:rRNA from 1 species